GUCUAUGGCCAUACCACCCUGAACGCACCCGAUCUCGUCUGAUCUCGGAAGCUAAGCAGGGUCGGGCCUGGUUAGUACUUGGAUGGGAGACUAACAUCUGUACCUUAAGGACCCUAGGAC
rnacentral:rRNA from 1 species